CCUACGAGCGGCAGCAGUGGGGAAUAUUGCACAAUGGGGGAAACCCUGAUGCAGCAACGCCGCGUGGGUGAUGGAGCGUUUCGGCGCGUAAAGCCCUGUUAGUGGGGAAGAAGAUAGACGGUACUCGACCAAGAAGCCCCGGCUAACUACGUGCCAGCAGCCGCGGUAAUACGGAGGGGGCGAGCGUUAUCCGGAAUUACUGGGUGUAAAGGGUGCGUAGACGGGAUGGUAAGCCAGAAGUGAAAGCCCAGGGUCCAACCUCAGAACUGCUUUGGAAACUGUUUUGCUAGAGUAUGGGAGGGGUAGGGGGAAUUCCUGGUGUAGGGGUAAAAUGCGUAGAGAUCAAGAGGAACACUCAUGGCGAAGGCGACUUACUAGACCAUAACUGACGUUGAGGCUCGAAAGCGUGGGGAGCGAACAGGAUUAGAUACCCGAGUAGUC
rnacentral:rRNA from 1 species